GGACUUAUAGCUCAGUGGUAGAGCGGUCGACUGCAGUGUCCCGGAGGGACCAGUCAUCGACAGGUCGCCGGAUCAACCCCGGCUGGGUCCU